rnacentral:lncRNA from 1 species
CGGGUGGGGUGUGGAGCCCGGGGUGCAGGGGUAAGGCCGGGCACCAGGGGGGGAUGUGGAGCGUGAGGAGCUGAGGAGCAGGGGUAAGGCUGGGCACUGGCGAUGGGGUAUGGAGCCCGGGGUGCCUCCAGCUUCUGAACAUCGGGUCCUGCUGCAGCCAGUGGUGGCGGCGCCAGUGGGUGGAGGAGUUCUUCCCAUCCGUGUCCCUGGGGGACCCCACGCUGGAGACGCUGCUCAGGCAGUUUGGACUACAGGAGAAAAGCCCACCUCGCACCCGCAGCGCCAACAGCACCCUGGCCCAGGCCCUCCACUGGACUCGCUCUCAGCUGUCUCCCCUGGAGGCCCCCGCCCUGCUCUGGGGGCUCCUCAUGGCCGUGGGGGCUGUCAGAUUUGUGCAAGCCCUGCUAGCACCCUGUUCUCUCCGGUCCUCCCCGCUGGCACCAGUCAGCGGGGAGAAGCGCAGGCCAGCCUCCCAGAAAGACUCCGGAGCUGCCUCCGAACAGGCCACCGCAGCCCCCAACCCCUGCUCCAGUAGUUCGAGGACCACCCGGCGAAAGAAGUAGCUGUGUUCUCCCAGCUGCACGUCCUGAGAGGGCCAGGUCGCCGGGAGUGCUCUGGCCUCCGGCAGGACAGGACCCAGCCACUGUGCCUUAGCUGACCCUGCAGGGCCAGGCACAGGUUGGGGGGCUGCCCCUGGGGUUUGCAGGGUGCUGCAUUGAGGGCUCCAGGCCCCACCCCCACGCCAGCCAUGCCCCUCCCCAGGACUCCCACUAUUGCCUCUGUGAUUGGCCCAGGAGGAAAACACGACCAAGCUCAAGACCCUUCCCCUGCCCUGGGCUGUGGGGGUCUGAGUCUAGAGCCCCCAACCCUAGGCCCCGUGCCAGAGGGGAAGAGGCUGACUCCCAGGGGAAGAGGGGAAGCACUGUCAUCUUCCACGUCAUCUUCACACCAGCCCAUCCUGCCCUUUAGAUCUGGGCACCAAUAAAGGCGUCUUUUGUGCUUG